rnacentral:tRNA from 1 species
AUUCAGGUGGCAGAUUAGUGCUUUGGAUUUUUAAUCCAAGAUAUGUUAAAUUUAACUCUGAUUG